rnacentral:rRNA from 1 species
UGAACGCUAGCGGCAGGCCUAACACAUGCAAGUCGAGGGGUAACAGGGAAAAGCUUGCUUUUCCGCUGACGACCGGCGCACGGGUGCGUAACGCGUAUGCAACCUACCUUUUACAGGAGUAUAGCCCAGAGAAAUUUGGAUUAAUCCUCCAUAAUAUCUUUUUCAUGCAUAUGAUUAAGAUUAAAGCUUCGGCGGUAAAAGAUGGGCAUGCGUUUUAUUAGCUAGUAGGUGAGGUAACGGCUCACCUAGGCCACGAUAAAUAGGGGCCCUGAGAGGGGGACCCCCCACACUGGUACUGAGACACGGACCAGACUCCUACGGGAGGCAGCAGUGAGGAAUAUUGGACAAUGGACGAAAGUCUGAUCCAGCCAUGCCGCGUGCAGGAUGACGGCCCUAUGGGUUGUAAACUGCUUUUAUACAGGAAGAAACACCCCCACGUGUGGGGGUUUGACGGUACUGUACGAAUAAGGAUCGG